rnacentral:rRNA from 1 species
GACGAACGCUGGCGGCGUGCUUAACACAUGCAAGUCGAGCGGUAAGGCCUUUCGGGGUACCCGAGCGGCGAACGGGUGAGUAACACGUGGGUGAUCUGCCCUGCACUUCGGGAUAAGUCUGGGAAACUGGGUCUAAUACCUGAUAUGACCUCCUAUCGCAUGGUGGGUGGUGGAAAGAUUUAUCGGUGCAGGAUGGGCCCGCGGCCUAUCAGCUUGUUGGUGGGGUAAUGGCCUACCAAGGCGACGACGGGUAGCCGACCUGAGAGGGUGACCGGCCACACGGGGACUGAGACACGGCCCAGACUCCUACGGGAGGCAGAAGUGGGGAAUAUUGAACAAUGGGCGAAAGCCUGAGGCAGCGACGCCGCGUGAGGGAUGACGGCCUUCGGGUUGUAAACCUCUUUCAGCAGGGACGAAGCGCAAGUGACGGUACCUGCAGAAGAAGCACCGGCUAACUACGUG